rfam:Lupinus angustifolius cultivar Tanjil chromosome LG07, whole genome shotgun sequence.
UUAUUUGCGGAUGUAGCAUCAUCAAGAUUCACAUGCAAAUGCAGGUGGGUGGAAUCUGAUGCAGUCUAUGUUCUCUGGCAUACCAUAAGUCCUUUGAAGUGAGAAUCUUGAUGAUGCUGCAUCAGCCAUAAA